CGAGUUUCGAGUUUAUAUAAAGUUCGGGCCACAUCAAUAAUUAUAAGUAGAGAGCCGAGGCAAGAUGGCGCACCCGACUGAAGGGAUGGAAAGUACGGGAUUAAUAGACGAACAAAUUAGCGCAAAGUUUGGGUAGAGAGCUGCGUGCACCCGCGGCACUAAUCCCGUGCAUUAAAAGUUAACGGCGAGCUGGCGCGGCCCGUGUGUCCUUCCUGGCAUUAGAUUUCUGAGUUUCCCGGCCGAGUUAGGGCAACACCAGAUCUGCGUUUCAACUGGAAACUACGUUAGGGACAGAUUCGAACCGAUCCCCCCACCAAUUCACUGAGUUGGUAUAUAUAUGUGUGAUAUUCGUGCUGGACAAGUUUGAUGCCGAGAGGUUCCAGGACGACUUGAAAACUACAAUAUUUCUCCUUUAGUUCAGGAAACCUUAAUGGUUCUCCGUAACACCUGUGGAAUAUCUCUGGAUAUAUAGCGAAAGAAAAAAAAAUGUAAUUGCUUCGGUUCGGUCUCCGUGGACGGAAGGACGGAUCUGGGAGGAAAAAGUCCUCCCUGGUCGAGUGGCCAAGCAAAAAGGAAGAAGCGAGGAUGAGCAGAAGCAAAGAGAACGAAGAGAAA
rnacentral:lncRNA from 1 species